AUUUUUCAGGAAGUUUUAAGUGUUUGAAGGAGAAGGUGGGGGGAGGAGGAGGAGGAUAGAAAAAAAAAAGAACUGUUGCUUACAAUGAAAGUGCUUUAUCAGCCAUAACUAGUGCCUUGCUAGCACAGCUCUAUAUAAAAACAAUACUCUUGCCAGAACCAUGAACUCUGUUACACAGCAGAGCAAAGAUGUGACCUACUUUGUUAAUAAAAAACAUUUGCUUAAGCUAACAAGAAGCCUUUACAUACACAUUAAUAGGCCUUGACGAGAAUAUUUAACUAAUGAUUAAUUCUAGGGUCUAUUUUUUCUGGGCUACUUGGAAGCUGAAUGUUAUUUUUAUUUUACUGCAAGCCUGUUUUGCCACUAAAUCAGACAAAAAUCCAAAGUGCAAUUUCAUUUGUAAGUACUCCUUCAGGAAAGUUAUAUCCAUUGGGAUUUUUCAAUAAUAGUUUUUCCAAAACCAUAAUGAACAGUUCAAAUAUUUAAAGUUAGCAUAUGUUUCACACAAAGUAGUAAAAAACUAAACUGUUUUACUGUGAUAGCUACUAAACCAUGAACUACACUUCAAAGAAGUCAGUAAUUAGGAAUAAACUCCUUUGUGAUAUAAAACUUAAAAAAUGCAACUCCAAAAUGGUUCUCCACUUCUCUGGUAAGCUAUGCACAAAAUCUAUUUUUCCUCUAUUUAGCAUGUGCAGAUACAAUGUUUGUGCCUUCAAUCCAAUCUCCUCUGCAAUGAGUCUUCAUUGUAGAAACAUCCCAUAUCUAUACAAAAACAAGCUGCUUUCACUGAAUUAUCUUUCAAUUUCUUAACGACAACUCCAAUGUAAGAAAACAAAUUAAUAAUCUACUGUACUGUUAGGCAACAGACCAAAGUUUAAACAAGUAGUUAUGUAUUUAUAGAAGAGAAAAAUCAGUAUUUAAAUUUUCAAGUAGUCUUCUUACUUCUUUUGGAGAAAAACCUCAUUGACUAUUAUUUCCAGAUUGUUCGAGGUUUCUCUUUUCUGCAGUAUCUUAUUACAACAGAAAAAAUAAUUUAGAAAAGAAAACACAUGGAUGCGAGCUAUCGGGACUUCAAAGGAACUUGGAAUUAAGAAGAGGUGUAAUUACAGGGGGUGGUCGGGGCUUGAUGUCGAUCCAGGAGACGGAGGUGAUGGAGACCUUGGGUGAUGGAGAACGAGUCGUAGACUAAGUGGUUCAGCUCGAGAAGUUAAUUGCGUAAGCUCAUCUCCUGCUGGUUGUUUUUCUUUGAAAAACAUGGUGAUUGGCAACUGUUGCUGUUGUCUCUUGAGCUGCUCAAACAUUUCUUGAUACGGUCUCAAAUCAUCUGUAAUACUAUGUGUGAUUUUGAGGCUUCGUUCCAUAGAGGGAUCGUAUUCAGAAAUUAAAUCAUUAAAGUAUUUCGCUGCUUGAAA